UUGAACGCUGGCGGCAUGCCUUACACAUGCAAGUCGAACGGCAGCACGGGUGCUUGCACCUGGUGGCGAGUGGCGAACGGGUGAGUAAUACAUCGGAACAUGUCCUGUAGUGGGGGAUAGCCCGGCGAAAGCCGGAUUAAUACCGCAUACGAACUACGGAUGAAAGCGGGGGACCUUCGGGCCUCGCGCUAUAGGGUUGGCCGAUGGCUGAUUAGCUAGUUGGUGGGGUAAAGGCCUACCAAGGCGACGAUCAGUAGCUGGUCUGAGAGGACGACCAGCCACACUGGGACUGAGACACGGCCCAGACUCCUACGGGAGGCAGCAGUGGGGAAUUUUGGACAAUGGGCGAAAGCCUGAUCCAGCAAUGCCGCGUGUGUGAAGAAGGCCUUCGGGUUGUAAAGCACUUUUGUCCGGAAAGAAAUCCUUGGCCCUAAUACGGUCGGGGGAUGACGGUACCGGAAGAAUAAGCACCGGCUAACUACGUG
rnacentral:rRNA from 1 species